AUUGGGCUAAAGCGUCCGUAGCUGGCCCUGCAAGUCGUCGGGAAAUCCACUCGCCUAACGAGUGGGCGUACGGCGGAAACUACAGGCCUUGGGACCGGAAGACUUGAGGGGUACGUCUGGGGUACGAGUGAAAUCCUGUAAUCCUGGACGGACCGCCGAAUAGCGACAAGCACCUUCAGCACGACGGGAUCCGGACAGCUGAGGGUGACGAAAGCCUAGGGUCUCGAAC
rnacentral:rRNA from 1 species